GUAAUUCUAUGGCUAAUACAUGCGCAAAUAUCCUUUUUCGCAAGAAAGAGGAUAGUGUUUAUUAGAUACAGAACCAAUACACCAUCUGUUAACAGCAGGUGGUGUAAAAAAGGUGAUUCAUAGUAACCGAACGGAUCGCAUUAUGGUCAUUUUAUAUGGCUGGCGAUAGAUCAUUCAAGUUUCUGACCUAUCAGCUUUCGACGGUAGUGUAUUGGACUACCGUGGCAGUGACGGGUAACGGGGAAUUAGGGUUCGAUUCCGGAGAGGGAGCCUGAGAAACGGCUACCACAUCUAAGGAAGGCAGCAGGCGCGCAAAUUACCCAAUCCUGACUCAGGGAGGUAGUGACAAGAAAUAACAACACUGGAAAUUUUAUUUCUAGUGAUUGGAAUGAUGGGAAUUUAAACCCCUUUCAGAGUAACAAUUGGAGGGCAAGUCUGGUGCCAGCAGCCGCGGUAAUUCCAGCUCCAAUAGCGUAUAUUAAAGUUGUUGCAGUUAAAAAGCUCGUAGUUGGAUGUCUGCUGGAAGCAAUCAGUCCGCCCUAUUUGUAGGGUGUGCACUUGAUGAAUUCUGGCAUCUAUAUCCCAAUAAUAUGAUGGUGUAUACCCUGUGUACACCCAUCUAUAUUGGGAUAAUACCGUUACUUUGAGAAAAUUAGAGUGUUUGAAGCAGGCUAAUUGCCUUGAAUACUGCAGCAUGGAAUAACAAUAUAGGAUUUCGGUUCUAUUUUGUUGGUUUCUAGGACUGAAAUAAUGAUUAAUAGGGACAGUUGGGGGCAUUCGUAUUUA
rnacentral:rRNA from 1 species